rnacentral:rRNA from 1 species
AUUGAACGCUGGCGGCAUGCUUUACACAUGCAAGUCGAACGGCAGCGCGGGCUUCGGCCUGGCGGCGAGUGGCGAACGGGUGAGUAAUACAUCGGAACGUGCCCAGUAGUGGGGGAUAGCUCGGCGAAAGCCGGAUUAAUACCGCAUACGACCUGAGGGUGAAAGCGGGGGAUCUUCGGACCUCGCGCUAUUGGAGCGGCCGAUGACAGAUUAGCUAGUUGGUGGGGUAAAGGCCUACCAAGGCGACGAUCUGUAGCUGGUCUGAGAGGACGACCAGCCACACUGGAACUGAGACACGGCCCAGACUCCUACGGGAGGCAGCAGUGGGGAAUUUUGGACAAUGGGCGAAAGCCUGAUCCAGCAAUGCCGCGUGUGUGAUGAAGGCCUUCGGGUUGUAAAGCACUUUUGGCGGGAACGAAAAGGACUGUGCCAAUACCACGGUUCGAUGACGGUACCCGAAGAAUAAGCACCGGCUAACUACGUG